GACGAACGCUGGCGGCGUGCCUAAUACAUGCAAGUCGAGCGAACAGAUGAGGAGCUUGCUCCUCUGACGUUAGCGGCGGACGGGUGAGUAACACGUGGAUAACCUACCUAUAAGACUGGGAUAACUUCGGGAAACCGGAGCUAAUACCGGAUAAUAUAUUGAACCGCAUGGUUCAAUAGUGAAAGACGGUUUUGCUGUCACUUAUAGAUGGAUCCGCGCCGCAUUAGCUAGUUGGUAAGGUAACGGCUUACCAAGGCAACGAUGCGUAGCCGACCUGAGAGGGUGAUCGGCCACACUGGAACUGAGACACGGUCCAGACUCCUACGGGAGGCAGCAGUAGGGAAUCUUCCGCAAUGGGCGAAAGCCUGACGGAGCAACGCCGCGUGAGUGAUGAAGGUCUUCGGAUCGUAAAACUCUGUUAUUAGGGAAGAACAAAUGUGUAAGUAACUAUGCACGUCUUGACGGUACCUAAUCAGAAAGCCACGGCUAAUUACGUG
rnacentral:rRNA from 1 species